GUGUGCAGAUAUGGUUUCAAAUUUAUCACUUCGAUCACUGUUAGACAGUGAGAAGUUAACCAGACUGAAUUUUGAUAAAUAAUAUCAAAAACUCAAGAUCAUCCUGGAGCACGAGCAGAUCUUGUAUGUGAUUACAAAUCCGGCACCUGAGGAGCCCGCUCCUAAUGCUCAUGGCGCGGUUAGAGAUACUUACUUGAAGUGACUCAACAAUCGUAACACGGUUCGUUGCAUAA
rnacentral:lncRNA from 1 species